UUACGGCCACAGCACAUUGAAACACCGCUUUCCGUACGAUCACCGAAUUUAAGCAAAGUCGAGCCUGGUUAGUAUCUAGAUGGGUGACCGCUUGGGAAUAUCAAGUGCUGUAA